CAGGGAGACAACACAAUGAUUUUGAUGCCUGAGUGCUUUUAUUCUUAGGCCAAAAUCCUGUCACCUUAGGUCGAUCGGUACCUCAGCUUUGAAGUUAAGGAUCAGCAGCAAUGUUGAUUGCUUGAUGGAGAUUUUCAGUUCCUAAACUUUGUCUAGGUCACACCCCAAAAGGGAUGAGACUCCUGGGCCAUUAGCUCAGGUGGUUAGAGCGCACCCCUGAUAAGGGUGAGGUCCCUGGUUCAAGUCCAGGAUGGCCCAUUCGGUGUUGGGGGUUUAGCUCAGUUGGUAGAGCGCCUGCUUUGCAAGCAGGAUGUCAGGAGUUCGAGUCUCCUAACCUCCACUGACCGAACUUGAUUCCCAUCUCCAAUUUUUUUGGAGUUGAGCUCGAUUGGAGUGUGAUUUAGAUGUGUCCGCUGGAUGACCCCAGCUUCCUGUCAUUCCAAGUUUUAGAUUUUAAGUCUUAAAUUUGGUUGAUAAGAUGCUGGGCUCGGAUCAAAUGAUCAAGCAAUUGAUGAUUUGAUUUGAAGUUCUAGCAGAACCUUGACAACUGCAUAGGUGAAGUCUGGAAAAACAAAGCAUCUUACAGAUGCAUUGUUUUGAAUCUGAUCUUCUGAAAGGGAGAUUGGAUCUAGAACAAUGAAAAUUCUUUUGAGCAAGAGCCGAGACUCUUGAGCGUUCUUUGAUUGGUGUCGAGCCAAUCAGAGUUUGAUCUUGUUUUUAGCAAUAAAAACUUGAGAAUCUGCUUUCAACGGCGGUAAGCGUUCACGAGGUUAAUU
rnacentral:tRNA from 1 species